ACCCAAAGCCACUACAAAAGUAUUAUCUUAGAUAUGGUGCCUCCAAGAUAACAGAAGUGCUCCACUUACUCAUCUGAAACUCUAUAGUUGCUAGUUCGUCCCUGCCACUGCCAUCUACUGGUUCAAGAUACACCAUGGCUUUCUCACCGAAACCAGUUAAUGAAGAUGAUUUGAAAGCGUUGAAAGAAAGGAUGAAAUUGAUCUCUGAUGUUGACCCUCAACAGUACCACAAUGACUUUUCCCUUAAACGAUAUCUGCGUGCGUUCAAAACUGUUGAUGAUGCAUUUAUGGAAAUUUUGAAGACCAAUAAGUGGCGAGUUGAAUAUGGUCUGGCUGAAUUAACAGAGACCAGUCCUCUUGUUCAAAAGUACAUGAAAAAAAAUAUAGCCAAAGUGCUGAAGCAUCGUGACAUAAGUGGUCGCCCAGUAAUUUAUUUCUCAGCAAAAAAUCACAAUGUAAAUGAUGGAAACAUUGAUGAGCUCACAAAGUUCAUUGUGUAUUGCUUGGAAGAGGGGUGCAAAAUGUGUUGUGAAGAAGUUAUUGACAAUUUGUGUGUUGUCUUAAAUCUGAAAAAUUUUGGAUUGAGCUACACGGAUUUUCAAGUCCUCAAAAAUUUGGUCUGGCUUGGCAUGCGUUAUCCUGAACGUCUCGGAAUAUGUCUGAUGAUUAACGCCCCUGCCCUCUUUUCUGGAUUUUGGACUGUGGUCAAAGGAUGGCUAGAUGAAACUACAUCCAGCAAAGUACAAUUUAUUAAAAGUGAAGAGGAACUGUGCAAGUACUUGAUUCCUGAUAUACUUCCAACUGAUGUGUGAGAAUGCUAAAAUCAAAUUUGCCCUGGGUGAUCACAUUACCAAAUUCGCUGCAGCAACCCGUUCCCUGUAGUUGCAAUCAAUUAAUUAAGAAUACAUGAUGCUUCUUCGGCCUACCAUAAAAGGAUAAUCUCAGAUAAAGCCUCCGAGAUAACAGAAGUAAGUUGUUCCACUUACCCAGCCGAAACUCUAUUGCGGCUAGUUCGUCCUCGUCAGUGUCGCGCGCUGGUUCAAGGUGAGAAACAUCGACGUCGGAGCUGCCUGCUGCCUCCAGCCAAGGACUCGAUACUAAUCGUGUCUCCUAUUUGAGUCGUCAUUUUAUCACUUUGAGAGAAAGGCAGGCAGCUUAUCAAGUGUUGUGUGCUCUUUGAGAGAAAUGCAGGCAGCUUAUCAAGCACCCUGG
rnacentral:misc_RNA from 1 species